AUGGCAUGAUGGGGACAUUUUAUGAUGAGAUCCUUUAAUCUCUCCCAUGACUCAUGGAACUGCUCAUCAUCUUGUUGCCAAAAUCUAGUGAGAGCUCGUCUUAUCU
rnacentral:snoRNA from 1 species